UCGGUUCUGUCUCUCUAUCUCUCGUGUGGUCAGAUGAGAGGCACAGACGGCCGGCCGUCCGUCUUCCGCUUUAUAAGAGGGCGGCCGAAUUGCCCAAAUCAGGAGAUGGCCGAUGGCGAUCUGCUUCAUUUGGGCCUCCGUCGCCAAACCAGGCGAUGUCCUAAUGGUGGUCGCUCCAAUCGGAGAUGGUCCGAUUUUUUCUUUGUGCGUGCGUCUGCCUCAUUUUUGUUGUGUUUGGGUUUCCUUGCAGCAUAACCAGCGUGAUGAAAUGGAACGGCACGAAACAAGCCCACGGUCAAAUUUAUCUGCUUCCUUCUGUUCGCUACAAAUAGCAACGAGCUAGACUAUUUGCUGUUCCAUGUUUUGGCCAUUUCCAGAGAACAUUUACUGCAACUUACCUUUCUAAUCUGAUCCAGGCGUGACCGAUUAAAGGUAGCGGAGCCAGCGUGGGGCAAGCGUGGGCCUGCCCACGCCAGCGCAAGAAAGCUCCACAGUGAAAUGGAGCCUCAGUCUGCCUCAUGCUCGUGUUGACGCCGUGUUGCCCACACCAAAAAUGGAUCCGGUCCCAAUCUGUGCAUCUUACACGCUCUUUCGUUUCGCUGCCACAGCAGUUCUCUGCAGCUCCAACAUCAGGCUAUCAGCAAGUUUGCUUGGAUCUUCUCCCCUCUGCAGCCGCAGGACAGAGCUCCUGCAACAGCAGGUCUGCUGACUCUGCUCCUCCUUUCGACCUUCCCCCGUCCACCGCAGGCUUUUUUCUCAACUCAGCAAAGCUGCAAAAAUAUGGGGCAUAUCGUACUCUCAAAAACCUGCAAACUGUACAUAUACAUCCAACCUCUGGUCUAGCACAGGAUAUUCCUAGAUGGGUAAUUUACACGAAUUGGUGCUGACAACGAAAGAGAACAUGCGUCAGGUGACAGAGGUGAAACCUGAAUGGCUGGUUGAAAUAACUCCACACUACUACCAGUUAAAAAUGUUGAAGAUUGUCAGUCCCUCUCUCUCUCUCUCUCUCUCACCGACACACACACACACAAAACUACUUUGGAAGAUCAGAUUUUAUUCUAGGGGCGUGAAACCCUGAGGCUAGUACCUUCAUUAACCCCGAGGCUAAUACCUUCACUCUCAAGGCCUAUGGAUGUUUAGCCUUUAUUAGAGAGUGGUGCUCGUGAAAUUUGAACCAGAUUGCGUUUCUGAUAGAGAAAGCGCAAACCCGUUACAUCAAGCCUUUGGGCCUCUCUACCUUUCUGUCUCUUUUUGGCGUAUGUAUGUGCUAUUCUCUAUCAUAAUUCAUUUAUUGGUUUUAUAUUUCUGAUACCUUUUUUCUGUCAAGGAAUUCAGUUGACAGCUGGAACACGAAAAUUGCCACGUGGGAAGGUCUUGUAGCUUCAGACAGAUAGUUUGUCCUCGAUGUAAAUGUCCUUAUCCUAUUCUCUAAUUUUUGUUUUGGGCUGGCAACAGCCGUAUUCUUGCGUUGGUGAGUUCCUACAGAUGGGAGAUUCACGAAGCGGUUUCAAAUGCUAACUUGUUGGGAAGGCAAGGGCACGCAUCUCUCUGUAUAUUUGCUAAAAGCAUGAGCCUGAUGUACAAAUUAGAAACGUAACCCAGUAAGAUGAAGAAAAAGUAUGACUGUUGGUCAAUUAAUCAAUUCAUUUUUGUAGAAUUGGUGCCAUGGUGCUAUAUAUUUAACAGUUAACUUUUACUGCUUCUA